CUUUCCAUUGGCGGCGACGAUCUGAACACUGAAUAUGGUCGCUUAGCAGCAAGAGAUCCGUGCUGCACAGUGUUUAAGGGAGCCUAAUAGCGAAACCGGCCGAUCUUUCG
rnacentral:ncRNA from 13 species